rnacentral:sRNA from 1 species
GACAAUAAAGCAAAUAAAAGGUGAUGACAGAAGGCUAGAGAGCACAAAGGAGUAAGAUGCAAA